UUAAGUUCAGCGGGUCUUCCUACCUGAUCCGAGGUCAACCUUGGGUAAAAUAAGGCUUUUAACGGCCGGAACCCGCAGCACGCCCUGAGCGAGACGUAAACUACUACGCUCGGGGUGACAGCGACGCCCGCCACGUGGUUCAGGGCCUGCGGCAGCCGCAGGUCCCCAACACAAGCCGGGGGCUUGAUGGUUGAAAUGAC
rnacentral:misc_RNA from 1 species